CAAACCUCUCUUGGUGGGCAGGCGGUCGGACGCUCAGCAGGACUGGCAAAACAGAAUAUCUGUGUGUCAGUGUAUGUUUUAUUCAUCUGUCGUUUGGGUCAGGGUCUGCGGGGCAGACCCCUGCAGCUAAUGCCUUCUUGUGAGCAGCAAUACCUCACUUUUUAUCAGCCUCUGGCUGCAGAAGAGCAGGACCACAAUCCUGGAGGCUCAGCAAACAUCCCAUCAAUGGUGGAAAAUGUUUCCUCUUUGUCCCACAUGGAGUUUACAGAUGAUGGGUUUCCAACUUCCAGAAGAGGAACCAGCUGAAGAGAACAUCCCACUCCCCGCUCCCCACCACAAAAAAAGAUUCAGAGGGUACAUACGCAGGUUUGUUACCCGAGUAGACUUCCUGAUGCUGAGGUUUGGAGUACAACUGAUGCCGUCACUCAGGUACAGAGCAAAACAGGUUGGAGUGCAGUGGCGCGAUCUUGGCUCACUGAAACCUCUGACUCCUGGAUUCAAGCAAUUCUCCUGCCUCAGCCUCCAGAGUAGCUGGGAUUACAAGAGCCCACCACCAUGCCUGGCUAAUUUUUGUUUUUUAGUAGAAAUGGGGUUUUGCCAUGUUGGCCAGGCUGGUCUCGAAUUCCUGAGCUCAGGUGAUCCACCUGCCUUGACUUCCCAAAGUGCUGGGAUUACAGGCGGGAGCCCUCGGUGUCCAGCCUAGAAUAUCCUUAAAUCCUUCCACAGUGACCCCAGUUUUUAUUUCUACCUUUCUGCAUUCUACAUUUUCUUUGUACUUUUCUUGAGCCCACAUUCAGUCUGGUAUUAGUACCUUCCACCUGCAUUAGCCCAGUUUCUUCAGAAAAUACUAAAUGUGCAGUCCCACAGAAGCAGGAGUAAGUGAAAGAGAAACAAAGUGGUGAAGAGGGGAGAGAAACCUCACAGGGUAGGUUCCUGUAUGGCCAGAGUCUGUGACAAGCCAAUUUCGUGAUUUCACAGGACACCUUCAGAGAGAACAUUUGAAGUUACCGUGAAAGGGGAGAAGAGGGAAUAAGU
rnacentral:lncRNA from 1 species